rnacentral:rRNA from 1 species
UACGUAGGGUGCGAGCGUUAAUCGGAAUUACUGGGCGUAAAGUGUGCGCAGGCGGCUGAGCAAGUCGAGUGUGAAAGCCCCGGGCUUAACUUGGGAAUUGCGCUCGAAACUACUUGGCUUGAGUGUGGCAGAGGAAGGUGGAAUUCCACGUGUAGCGGUGAAAUGCGUAGAGAUGUGGAGGAACACCGAUGGCGAAGGCAGCCUUCUGGGCCAACCACUGGCAACGCAU